rnacentral:rRNA from 1 species
GACGAACGCUGGCGGCGUGCUUAACACAUGCAAGUCGAACGAAGUGGCGAACGGGUGAGUAAAGCGUACUCAACCUGCCCUUCAGAGGGGGAAAACAGUUGGAAACGACUGAUAAUACCGCAUACUGAAGGCGGGGAUUGCGUCUGAUUCGCUAGUUGGAGGGGUAACGGCCCACCAAGGCGAGGAUCAGUCGCCGGUCUGAGAGGAUGAACGGCCACAUUUGGACUGGGACACGGCCCAGACUCCUACGGGAGGCAGCAGUGGGGAAUCUGCCGAAAUGGACGAAAGUCUGACGGAGCAACGCCGCGUGAGUGAUGACGGCCUUCGGGUUGUAAAGCUCUGUUAAUCGGGACGCGGUACCGGAAUAGAAAGCCACGGCUAACUACGUGCCAGCCGCCGCGGUAAUUC